UUUUUUCAAAACACUCACAAUCAUGCAAAACCACUACCACACAGACAAACUCCUUCAGACGCACACCGCAUCCGCUCAACUUACACCGCCACGAAACGUCAUGCAAAUCUCAGAUCCGAAACACCUUUUCCGAUUACAAACCACUCACAAAGGGUCGCAGACUAUCGUGCUCCACCGUCGAAGAACCUGACGAAACUCCGAUCUGUAUCAGUUGCGCCGCUGCUCAAAUCCAUGCGCAACCGUCGGUCGUUUCCCGUCGUCGCUGUUCAGAGCUCAGCCACCGCGCCUCUGUCAGAAUCCAUCGCGCCAACACACAGCUCCAACACACCGUCACAGAACCGUCGAUCCACACAAGGCCUAUUUCUGGAACUGUCUGAUCCCACGGUUAGCUGCCACCGGUAA